rnacentral:lncRNA from 12 species
GGAAGCCCAAGUGUGGGAAGAAGCUGACCCUGCCUUGAAGGAGGCAAUGGCAGCACGUGUCCCUGCACGGGGGGAUGAUGGCUCACGAGUGCCUCUGUGCUCUUGUGUGUGCAGACCUCCUGUGCAUCCUCCUCGGCUUAGCGGGUGGGACGCUCCUUCACAUGCCAGUGAUUGGCUUCCUGCUGUGGCAGCGCACAAGGAACAGAACAGGAGAGCUUCUGAGUGAGGAAGUGGCGGAGGAGAAUCAGACCAGUACGGCAGCUCCAGUGACAGAGACUGAGGACCUGACCUAUGCCAGCCUGAAUUUUGAAAAGAAGGGGACAGGACCUGUCUCCUCCAAUGUCAUUUAUACUGCAGUCAAGCCAUUGCAACAGAAGCAGAGUGGUGGGGAUGACAAUGCUGCCAGCAAAGAUGUGAAUGUCUGUCCCGAGGAUGAAGGCAAGUGAGGGAGGUGAGCAGCUUCUUGUCCACCUGUUGGAGUUGCCCUCCUCAAAAACUAGGUGUUAGCUCAUACAGCAGUGCAGUCUUGGUGACCAAAGACCCCUAUUAUCCCCGAGUGGCUGCAGAACCCUGCUUUAUAUUCCCCUGAAAGAAGCCACAUCUCACGGUGAGGGCAGGACUCUUGAGCCCGUUUUCCCCUUGCCUUCUGCAGCUCCAAGCACUGCCAAGCCUCAGCAACUCUUUUCACUGUCUCCAGUCACUGGCAGGCUCCUCUAGCUACUUGUUCCUUGUUCAGGAAUGACACUUGUACACUGUGUGGCCAACAUGGUGUUCAGGAAGAGCUUGGUCCUGGAUGUGCUGGGUGGCACAGCCAUGAGAAUUCCUGGAGCUAUUUUCUGGAUUUUCUCUAGAGCAGGCACCUGCUGUGAGAUGGGUUGACCUUGCUCUCUUUCACUCACUUGAAAUACAAGGGGCAAGGAUGGAAAAGCAUUGCUUGCUUCACAGAGGUGCUCCGGCAGUGAUGCACAUGGAUCUGCUUUGUACUGGGAGUGUUUUUGCUGGUUUGGUGGUGAAUACCCUUCCCGUGGGUAGAACACUCUCUUUUGUGCCUUCUUUUAUUGAUAAUGUUGUGUUUAUUGUGAGUUUUUCAAUAAAAUUGUGAUUCCCACUUGUGGUCUCACCUGGUGUUUCCUCUGCUGUUGGAAGAGGAUGGGGGAAGAGGAGCAGCUUGACUGGAGUUAAUUUUCCCACUGGGUUUGAAACCAGCACAUAGCUCUAAUGACUUAGUGUUACAGCCACAACAUGUGCUGAGGUUCAGAAAUGGCUCCAAAAGAUAGUCCAGAUCUUCUGGGUUAUUCACAGAGCAUAUGAUCCAACUUGGGCAGAUGUCCAACCAUUAAAC